rnacentral:rRNA from 1 species
AUUGAACGCUGGCGGCAGGCCUAACACAUGCAAGUCGGGCGAGCGGCGGACGGGUGAGUAAUGUAUGGGGAUCUGCCUGAUGGAAGGGGAUAACUACUGGAAACGGUAGCUAAUACCGCAUACCACAAGGUGACCCCAUGUGGGAUUAGCUGGUAGGUGAGGUAACGGCGCACCUAGGGGACGAUCCCUAGCUGGUCUGAGAGGGUGAAGAACCACACUGGGACGGAUACACGGCCCAGUCUCGUAUGGGAGGCAGCAGUGGGGCAUAUUGGACACUGCGCUCAAGCAUGAUGCAGCAAUGCCGCGUGUAUGAACAAGGCCUUCGGGUUGUAAAGUACUGUCCUUCGGGAUGCGUUACCUACAGAAGAAGCACCGGCUAACUCCGUGCCAGCAGCCGCGGUAAUAC